CCGGGGCCUGGAGCUGGGGACGCGGGCCGGGGCCGGGAGUUGCGGACUCGCUGGCGGGUGGGAGGAGCGGAGUCGGGGCGAGGCUGGCGGAGAUCCAGGGGAUCGCCCGGUUGGGCCCUGCGCACCCCGGAUCACCAGCUUCGGGCGCUGGUUCCCACCGAGGCUGUUCAGGCGCCGCUCCCCCGCGUCCCUGCGACAGGAGGCGCCUGCUGGGCGCGCUAUGGACCCCGCCUCGCGGAGACGCCUGGCUCGGGCCUUGUCCCCAGUGAGCGGCUGGAGCGGCCGCGGGGUCGCAGAGCCUCCGGGACCCCGAGGAAGGGCGCCCCUCGGAGUUGCCCGAGGCCGGGCCCGGCGUCCACUCGCCACUCGCCUCGCCCCUCCCCGGCCCCGCACCGCCCUCCACCCCGCCUCCUUCGGGUUCCUUCUGCGUCCGGCAGAGCCUGCGCGCCUCCCCCGGACGGCCACGGACUCGCAGCCUCGGCGAGGACGCUGCCUGCGUCCCGACUGCCUGGACCUCCCCGCGUGGCUCCCGGCGAAGCCCAGCAGCCGGAGGGUGCCAGGUCCGCCUGACGCGCCCCUCCCCACGGGAAGAACGGGGCGGGGGUCCAGGAGGGACGUAAGCCGGGCUCCCCCGGCGUGUUGAUCCGAACCCGCGCGGGAAAACUUGCGCAAACCAAAGGAGGGAAGAGUCAGGCAGCCCCCAGCCCCCCAGGGAGGCCCAGGUGAAAAACAGACGCCGGCCUCGCCUCUCCCGGUGCGGAUGAUCCCGGCACUCCCACCCCCGCCCCUGCUGCCCCGAGUUCGGCUCCCUCAGCCCCACAUCCUCUCUGGUCAUCUAAGUGGACUGCAGCUGCUCAGGGAGCAUGUCGCGAAGGAUAGGGAAGGACAGGGGGUCUGCUUCCCCAGCCGCCCUCCAGACCCCCAGGGCUGGUAGGGGCCGGCAACCCUAUGCCCCAACCUGGCCUGCUGCAGGUGAGGGGGGCACACCAGGGUAACACAGGAGCAGGAGGGGGAGAAAGCCUGGCUAGAGCAUCCACCUCAUAGGCACCUUCCUUGUGUCCAGGGUGCAGAUGCCAGGGCUCUGAGGCCCUGAGGUCCUGUCUGGGGCGAGGGGGCUUCCUCCAUCCACUGCAUCCACUGCCCGGCUGAGUCUAGAGGCCACUGAGCAAGCAGACCCUCCAAAGCCAGGCACACUCAGGCCCUCACAUGGUCACGGUGCUUAUGCUCUGGGCCAGCCUGGAUUGCUCAUCCCUAGCUGAGAUUGGGAUUCACAGGGUCUUCCAGUUCCCCCUUUUCUUUCUCUACUGAUUGAGAAACACAGAGUCCUUUGAUUGCUCUGGGACCUGGCCAUUGCGUGUUCCCUGCAGCCUUGAACCCAGUUCAAUGGGGCCGGGCACAUUCCCUGAUAAAGCUGUUUAGGUUGCUUGAAAACACAAUCAACCCUAUUGCUAAACACGUAGAAACUGGCCCUGCCCUGAGUCCAAUCCCUUAAACUCUCAUCUAAGCUCCAUAGCCAGAGUCCCUUGCUGCAAAUGUACCUGGGUGGAGCAUCCCUUGCCUCAUCAUCGAUCCCAAGAAAGCUGAAGCUCCAUGUGAAAAUUUCCGGAAGAAAUGCUCUGGACUGAUCACCCUGGCGUUUAGAGCUUCUUUCCUUGGAAUCCCAACCAAUUCCAUCGCGGGACUGUUUGGGGAAGUCUUUUGAGGCAACUCCCUUGCUGCCACUUUUGGGGCAACUCUAGCCUCCUCAUAUUUGGCCAGAUAGAACAGUUCCAAGCUGUAAAUGUUUCCAGGAAAAAAUCUCAACUACAAAGACACUUUCAAGGUGCUGCAUUUCCAACAGCACUCUCCGUAUCCGAGUGGACAGCCCAGAGCAAUGGUGCUUCCAAUCCACAGAGCCCCUCCACAGGUCCCUUGCCAUCUGCAGACACCCACAUCUCAAGGAUUUCCAGCCUGCAAACCUGAGCUAAUCUCCCUGCUGGAAUGAGGGGAGGCGCCCUGGAUCCUCACCCGGCCAGAAACGGGGGAGAGUGCUCCCAAGGGACCCUAGCAGAGGUGAGUGAGCGUGAACAGGGUGGACACAGCUCCACUGCCAUAGGCCAGGCCACAACUUGGAGUGGGCCUGGGAGCUCAGAAGUUUCGGAGGACAGAGAACUAGGAGCCAGGAGCCUCCAAGAGCCACAGCGCCCACCUCACGGAGGGCUGGGGCAGACAGCUGGCCCCACCUGGGCACCAUGCCAUACAGAGACCCACGAGUGCCAGAGCAGCCACAGGACUGGGGUUUUGGGAACAGCAGUAGAGGCUGCUGCGCACACACAGAGGAGGAUGGCACAGAGGCCCUGGAGAUGGAGGCUCUGCUGUGCGUUGGGGAUGGCCGUGCUGCCAUCACACCAGGGAUGUCCAGGGGGAGGCAGCCUCAGGAAGCAGUGCCACACGGGCUGGUUAUGAGUCGACAGUGAGGCUUCCAGCUUGAGGACCCGGUGACAUGGGCUGGGAGAGGGUAUCUACUGCCGUGACCUUGGAGGGUCUUCUCUGUGCCUGCUGUUCAGGGCACCAGGGGUCCUGAGGGGAGAUGGUCGGUCAGGGAGGAGCAGCCUGAAUGACAGCGAUUGGCUUUGCCCUGGUGCAGGGACUGUGGUCAUUCCAGGUGAGGGUGAGGAGAAGUGAGGUCAGGUGAGGCUGGGUUUCCAGGCCCUUCAGCAGCACAUGGCCGUUUGAAGUGCAUCUCAGGAGGCAAGGGAUCCUUCCCUGGGUUCAAGCAGGAGAAACCUGGGGUUCGAUUAGCAGCUGUUAGGACCUCCAUGUUGUCAUAUUGGUCAUUCGGGGCCUGUUGUUGAACAGGAACAGCUGCAUUGCUGGUGGGGGCUGUACCAUGGAGGAGAGGGGGAGCUGUCAAUCAACCACCAUUGCAGACUCUGCAGCACCCGAGUGGCGACAGAGAUGGUGUGGUGAGAGGUUGGUGGGACUGCUGAGGUGCCCAGGACCAGAGGGGCUCAGCACAGAGGGGUCCAGGCCGGGUCUGUCCCCCCAGGACAGAGACGCAGUUUGGGUCUAGGUGGGGGUCUGUCCAUCAGCCUUGGGCUUGUGGCUGGGGAUGGCUGAGAUUUGACUGUUGUUUCUUUGCAGUCUUGGGGUUUGGGAGUAGAUUUUGAAUUUGAGCAGGUGUAGAGACAAGAAGUUUUCAAGAGUUUCAGAAAAAGGAGUCAGCCGGGCACGGUGGCUCGUGCGUAUAAUCCCAGCACUUUGGGAGGCCAAAGAGGGCAAAUGGCUUGAGCUCACGAGUUCUAGAUCAGACGGGGCAACAUGGCAAGACCCUGUCUCUACAAAAAAUACAAAAAUUAGCCUGGCGUGGUGGCGGGUGCCUGUAGUCCCAGCUACUCAGGAGGCUGAGGCAGGAGAAUCACUUGAACCUGGGAGGCGGAGGUUGCAGUGAGCCAAGAUCACGACACUGCACUCCAGCCUGGGUGAUGGAACCAGACCUUGUCUCAAAAAAAAAAAAGAAAAGAAAGAAAACAAAGGAGCCAGGAGGCCACGGCUAGAGCCCAGGGCAGAAACCCUCAGCCGGUAGCUCAGACCUCAAGCCAGGUUGUGAGGACUGUAGCCCUGGCUAGGGGCGUGGAGCCCGUGGACGGCCGGCCAUUCUCAGUGGAAGUUAGAGGGAGGAGAAGGGGACGUCCUGGUGUGAUGGACAAGAGGAGGGUGUCCUAGAGGAGGGAGGGUGGCCGGCCACCAGGACUGGACCUGAGUCUUGACUCAUCAUUGAGGCCCAGAUUGUUUCACAGAAGGGGGGCCUGCUCACCAGCUCUCCCCAGCUCACAAAGACCCACGAACGCGGAGGGGCCUCUCUCCAGCUCUCCCCAGCUCACAAAGACCCACGAACGCGGAGGGGCCUCUCUCCAGCUCUCCCCAGCUCACAAAGACCCACGAACACCGAGGGGCCCUGGAGCUGCCGGAUGAGCCGGCUUGGAUUGCUGGGCCAUGUCGAUGCAGGCGACAGCCGGGGCACAGGGCUUGUGAGGCCCAACAGUGUCUUGCCUCCUUGGGGUGGACUCUGAGAACAGACAGCUCCAGAGCUUAGAGCCUGGCAGGUGAGAGGCACUGGGGGUGCCUGGUGGGGCCUCUCUGGCAGCUGCUGACAGGCUGGUCCUGAACUCCUGGCCGCAGCUCUGGCUGCCUCCACAUCAGCGGCAGGUGCAGCCGUCAGGUGUGUCUCACGGCAGGUGAAGGUUGUUCUCAGGCCUCAGGGCCCCGGAGUCCUCAUCUGGCCCCCACUGGUGCCCUCCCCAUCUUCCUCGCCAGUGCCCUUUCAGACCUGUGACCCCUUGGUCACUCUUAUGUGGCCUGCGGCGUGAAUGACAGUUUUCCCUCACAGGCCUGUCUCCAGCUGAGCACCUCUGAGCUCCCCUAGACUCCUUGGGGGCAGGGUCAGAGUCUCCCAUGACCUCGAGUCCUCCAGGGACCAGUGCCCCACAGGUCCAGCCUGCAUGGGGAUAGGCAGAGCCAGAGAGUGGCCACAGGCCUGCUGCGGCAAGAAGGCAGGUGGCACGUGAGCCACCGCACCCGUCCUUCCCGGGCUGGUGGUAUCUGCCUGUGUCCCUGUGCUUAUGGCUGCUGGCGUAAACGUAGUUACUGGCCCCUCGUAGCAGGCCUCAAGGACUCCGUGGGCCCUACCUGUGCUCCUGUGUUUCUUGUGGCUGGGGCAGCAGCAGGCUGUGAGAAGCUCCUCCUUCAUACGAGGGUUUCAGACCAUGCUGGGUGUGCCAGGAUGCCUUCGUGGGCAGUGGGUGGCAAGGCCGCUCCGUCCUGGCAAGCCUGCCCCUGCGCACUCGCGCGGUGGAUGCAUACAGGUGGCCGGUGCUCCCUUCCUUGAGAAUGGAGGCCGCUUGGCGGGAGACACCCAAGGGAACGGCAGCACCUUGACAGGUUUGCUUCACUGCCCUUGGCUCCUGCCUUGCCGGAGUCUGUGUGUCCCUCAAGAGGGGCCGGUCUGCAGGGUACAGAGGGACCAAGGGAUGUCCCCCCAGGGUACAGAUGGUCCAGGAGGAUGCUUUGCAGCUUCUCAGUGGGCAUUGCCCCAGGGAGGCUGGUCUGCCCGAUGCCAGGUGCUCAGGGAUGGAGGAUCCAAGCCUAAGCCACUUCCAGGCCUGUCAGGGCAACCUCCUCGGCUCCUGCAGCACAAUCUUUCUGGUUCACUGCAGUAACCCUGGGUCCAGAACAGCCCUGACAUGUCACAGCCCCUCCCCGUUCAAAAGCUGGUCUCUCAGCUCGUCCUCACAAGCACCUGUGAGGCAGGAGAUGCCCUCCUUUGCAGGUGAGACACGGAGGCACAGAGGUCAGGCUGCUAAGGGUGCCACCAGGGUCUCCCCCACGCCCACAGAACCACCUCCUGCCUUCCACAGCAGCUGUGUGUGGGAGGAGGACAGUUGUGGGUGAUUGCAGGCCAGGUGUGAUGCUGAGCAGGAGAGGAGGAGCACAGGUGAAAGGAGCUUGUGUCCCAUAGGCUGGGGGUUUCUUUUUCCAAUGCAAUGUGAUCUCCCCCUACCCCCUGUCAGACCCCCUUGGGCUGCUGGUGAAGAAGUGUGAGUAACUAGACUCCUCAGUUAGUGACAGGCUUUUUUCCCCAAGCCAGACAAUGGGGAGUUCACAAAGGAGUUUGGAUCUUAGAUCAUAAAGUGAGUCCCUUGCUUAGUGUUCUGCAGGAUGUGGUUUAGUUUCAGGAUCUGAGUUCUAACUGCCAAUCUCAGGCCACUGGCGGUAGUGGGAGGCUGCUGUGGGUCCAGCCUGGGGGCCUGGCCACCCAUACAGUGUCAGAUUAGAGCCAAAGGCCACAGAGCUGGGUGGAGGGCGCUGCUUCCUUGUGGGAGCCUAUGACAUUUUGCCCGUUACGUAGAAAUCCAAGCUAACUGGCCCCAGAGUUGCUGCCAGGUUGAAGUGUCCACUCCGAGACGUUUUGGGCAGAAGCUUGCAGAUUUGCCCCUCCAUUUAACUUAGGGGACAAGGGCUAUGCUGACCUCCCCAACAGUGGCCUGGGGCAGGGAGCGGGAGAAGUGGCAGGCCCUGUGGGAAGGGCUGCAGGAAAGGAGGGGCCAGAAGUGGGGCCAGGCAGCAGUUCACCCACCCCAGCGCCCCUUUAGUCAGGACCUGCAGUGUCCAGCAUGGUGGGCUCAAGCCCCACGUGGCCAUCAGACACCUGGAAAGUGCCCCGUCCAAAUCGACAUGUGCCACAAAUGAAAACACUUGAUUUCAAAGACUCAGUAUGAAAAAUCAAAUCAAAUCUCUCACCGAUGAUUUUUUUAUAUUGAUUGCAUUUGGAAUUAUAUUUUGGAUUUAAGGUAAAUAAAGUGUAUUACUGUAUUUAAUGUUACCUGUUUCUUUUUACAUUUUAUUUUAUUUUAUUUUUAUUUAUUUAUUUUUAGGCAGAGUCUCACUCUGUCAGCCAGGCUGGUGUGAUCUCAGCUCACUGCAACCUCCACCUCCCGGGUUCAAUCGGUUCUUGUGCCUCAGCCUCCCGAGUAGCUGGGACUACAGGCGCGCACCACCACACCCGGCUAAUUUUUGUAUUUUUAGUAAAGACAGGGUUUUGCCAUGUUGGCCAGGCUGGUCUUGAACUCCUGGCCUCAAGCUAUCCACCUACCUCAGCCUCCCAAAGUGCUGGGAUUACAGGCAUGAGUCACCACGCCCAGCCUCCUUUUAUUUUAUUUUAUUUUUUAUUUUUUAUUUUUUCCUUUUAUUUUAAAGUUAAAAAGUAGCUCAGAGAUAGUGAUUUUAGGUGAAGGAUUUGGGCUGUGGCCUCUGUGCCCAAAACUUCUGUCUUCAAUUAGAUCCUUUCAUUUCUACAAAGCGGGCACCACAGCCUCACAUCAUUUGAUCAUUUGAUCUUUCUUUUUUUUUUUUUUCCGGAGACAGAGUCUCGCUCUUUCGCCC
rnacentral:lncRNA from 1 species